rnacentral:lncRNA from 1 species
GUAAAAGGAGGGAGGGGGCUGAGGUUUCACUUAAGGGCUAAGUGAGCGUAUUCAUGUUCUACAACUGACUUUCCUAGAUAGAGAGGAGAGGUGAUUCGGUUGAAACUAGCACAGAUGAUAGUGAGUGAAAUAAAGCAAGCUGCAAGAUAGUUGGUUGAGGAAUAAGUAUUUUGUUUCAAGUUUUGACAUAGUUGGUUCAUUGCGUUGUUACUUUCGUCUGUAGUUAUGAGUAAACAUUCGCAUUUUAUAAACUUAUGGUUUAUAAAACAAGUGGACGGAAUGACGUAUGCUACAUUUUUGUCGCUAAAAAAAAAAAAAAAAAAAAAAAAAAACAUGUUUAUUCUGCCACGUCAUAA